rnacentral:rRNA from 1 species
AGUGAACGCUGGCGGUAGGCCUAACACAUGCAAGUCGAACGGCAGCACAGGAGAGCUUGCUCUCUGGGUGGCGAGUGGCGGACGGGUGAGGAAUACAUCGGAAUCUACUCUGCCGUGGGGGAUAACGUAGGGAAACUUACGCUAAUACCGCAUACGACCUACGGGUGAAAGCAGGGGAUCUUCGGACCUUGCGCGAUUGAAUGAGCCGAUGUCGGAUUAGCUAGUUGGCGGGGUAAAGGCCCACCAAGGCGACGAUCCGUAGCUGGUCUGAGAGGAUGAUCAGCCACCAUGGAACUGGGACACGGUCCAGAAUCCUACGGGAGGCAGCAGUGGGGAAUAUUGGACAAUGGGCGCAAGCCUGAUCCAGCCAUACCGCGUGGGUGAAGAAGGCCUUCGGGUUGUAAAGCCCUUUUGUUGGGAAAGAAAUCCAGCUGGCUAAUACCCGGUUGGGAUGACGGUACCCAAAGAAUAAGCACCGGCUAACUUCGUGCCAGCCGCCGCCGUAA